GCGGCGUACGGGUGCGGAAACACUUGCACUGCCUUUCUGGGGGGAUAGCUUCGAAAGGAGAUUAAUACCCCAUAUUAUGUUGGAUGGCAUCAUUCGACAUUGAAAACUCCGGUGGAUAGAGAUGGGCACGCGCAAGAUUAGAUAGUUGGUGAGGUAACGGCUCACCAAGUCUACGAUCUUUAGGGGGGCCUGAGAGGGUGAUCCCCCACACUGGUACUGAGACACGGACCGGACUCAUACGGGAGGCAGCAGUGAGGAAUAUUGGACAAUGGGUGAGAGCCUGAUCCAAGCCAUCCCGCGUGAAGGACGACUGCCCUAUGGGUUGUAAACUUCUUUUGGUAUAGGGGAUAAACCUNACCCUCGUUGAGGGGUACUUGAAGGUACUAUACGAAUAAACACCGGUUAACUCCGGUGCAAAACCGGGGUAAUACGGAGGGUGCAAGCGGUUANCCGGAUUUAUGGGGUUUAAAGGGGUCCGGAAGGGAAUCGGAAGUUCCGGGUGCGAAUUCCCCAGGUUUANUNGGGAAAUGGCCCUGAAAACGGGGNGGUUCUCGGAAUUGUUGUUCAAAUCCUGGAAAAAGGGUUUGUGUGGACCGAGGG
rnacentral:rRNA from 1 species